rnacentral:lncRNA from 1 species
CUUAAAAACAGACAGGGGGUCCUCCUGCCUGCCUGCUCCCAUCUCAGGAAAGAGAACGGUGUUCCCAAGUCUGGAUCUGUUAGACGAGAUAUCCGGCAGGAAGGCAGAGCUGUUAUCUGCAAGCACUGUGAUAGGAUGGACAGAGAGGAGACUUAUCUCGCAGCUGGGGGAGCACAGAUUGCCCACGCUUCCCACAUUUCCUCCGAUUCAGAUAACUGCUUCCAAAUUAAUCGGUGUCCUUAUUCCUCUCAAACAAAAUGCUCCUGGCCUCUGUUAGAAUCACCAGUUUUCUGCACAGAGCUGAAGACGUGAGCAAAGCUCAGAAAAAUAAUGGAAAUAAGAAGCAUCAGCUCUAAUAAGAAAGCACUGCGAGUCCUGAUGGAUUGAGAACAAAACCUUCCACACAGAAAGAGAAAACAGCGCAGGAAAAUGCCCUUUUCCCCCAGUUGACAGAAGCACGUACACAGGAAAACUGCAGCUCGCCCACGGCAGCUCUGUGUCCCUCAGCUCUGCUCCACUCUACAAAGUGAUGUCAUCAUGUACUGCUUUAGUCCUGAGGUGCCUCCAAUGGCCGCUGUGCCAUCUCAGCUGCUCUUCAGAGCUUCUGCAAAUGAACUCCAUCUCUAUCUCCACAGCAACAACUCACAAACAGAGGCCUAUGACUUCAGCUGAGGAGCAUGCAGCAGGCAUUGAUGAGCUGCCAAGCAACGAAGAUUUGGUUUCAGGGUGGAUGCAGAAGCCAGAUAGUGACAUUUUUCUUGGGUUUUUGUCUGCCCUCCUUCCGGUGAAUUCCCACUGAAGAUAAUUUGGGCUCCGAGAGAAGAAACCCCUCCCCGGGAACUUGUUAUUUCAGUAACAGCUGAGUAAGGCCCAUGGAGGUCUUCAGGCUUCAGACAACCCUUUGGAAGCAAUAAUAACAGCAAGGAAAGAAACAAGAUGGAAAGCAUGGCCCGUGGCCAUCGAUCUACCCAGGCAGUUUGCUGCUGGUGGCACUUCAGCUGGAUGCAAAACCAGCACGAAAAAAAAAACCAAACCACGAUCCAAGUACAAGGUGCCAACAAGUUCAUCUUUAAUUAGCAGUUAAUUAGUUGUUUUGCUCAUUCGUCAGAGCACGAAUGUUUCCCAGCUGUGUAUCUAAACAGUAUUCCUCAGCCUUUCAGGCCCCCCUGUGAUCCCUGCAUCACUGAACAGCCCUGGAGUUCCCUCCAUUCCCCCCGUGGGUGCAGUCCCGCAGCCAUGGGAGCUCUCAGUGGGGGCGAUGCUCUGCGGUGCCUCAGUUCCAGCCCUGCUCUGUGCUCCCUGCCCAGCACUGCAGGGCUUUCCAGUCCUCCUACACGAGAGAGCAAUGCUUUCUCUGAAGCGUCCUUAGGCAGCCUACCUGCCUGGUGAAGGAUGACUAUUCCUAAAUGGCUUUGCAGUCUUUUGAAAAACCAGUCAUGAAAUAAUUGAGUCAAGCUUUCGUGAAAUAGAUCUUAAUUUUAUUCUAUGGAUGUCAUAGAUCUGAAAUUCUCAAAUGCUGAUGAACUUCCGUACAAACGCUUUAUGAUACUGGAAGUUCCCAGUGCUUGCAGUGCAGUCCUGCAGCGGUGUGGUGUUGGCAUAAGAACAAAUGGGAGGAGAGCGUUAAGAGAAUGUAAAAUAAAGAUAACUCUGAAGUAAACCCAAACAGUAGCCAACCAAUUACCUUAUCAUUCCCACUUUGCAGCUCGGGCAGAAUUUAUUAGUGAUCAGCAGCUGAAUUUGGUGCACAAGAUUUGCCACAUUCUGGGUCUGCCUUUAAUUCUGAGUGGCCCACCUGGGGAGGGCUGCUUACAUCCAAAGGGAGAGCAGUACUUCUUGCUGGAGAAGGUAACUCCUAGGUUUUUCCUAGUAGCUGCAUGGCAGGAGCCACGUAGUGCAGCACAGCUCCCCACCCAGGCUGCAGCUGCCCCCCAUCAGCCCAGGAGCACAGCCCUGGUGGGAUGCAGGCUGGCACAGACAGCACAGCCUGCAGCCGCUCACCCAUCACACUCCAAAAGGGCCUCACACAGCGCAGUGGGAGCCGCACAGCACUUCCUCCUCCCCAUGCACUUCCUGGUGCCCAGCCUGGUGAUGGCAGACAUCCCUCCUACAGUCCCCACCCCAGGCUGAGCACCGGGUGCUUCCAGAGGCUUUCACAGCCUUGCAUGGUGGCCGCAGUGCUGGUGGUCACCUCUACGAGCGGCCCCAACGCUGUGGUGGCUGUUGCAGGAGCACCAGCCGUGUUCCCCUCCUGCAGGGCUGCAGCUGUGCGCCGUGCAGCCCUUAUCUGUGUCAUGCAGGCCUGGCGCAGGAAGGGAGCGUGGGGCCGGGGCACCGCCUGCAG